rnacentral:pre_miRNA from 1 species
CCCACUGAGCCAUCUCACCAGCCCCUAAAAAUAAUUUCUAAACAAGAAUUCUAUAGGGCUGGAGAGAUAGCUCAGUGGU